rnacentral:rRNA from 1 species
UCCUACGGGGGGCAGCAGUGAGGAAUAUUGGUCAAUGGGCGCGAGCCUGAACCAGCCAAGUCGCGUGAGGGAUGACGGCCCUACGGGUUGUAAACCUCUUUUGCCGGGGAGCAACGGGCGCCACGUGUGGCGCCACUGAGAGUACCCGGAGAAAAAGCAUCGGCUAACUCCGUGCCAGCAGCCGCGGUAAUACGGAGGAUCCGAGCGUUAUCCGGAUUUAUUGGGUUUAAAGGGUGCGUAGGCGGUUUGAUAAGUUAGAGGUGAAAUGUCGGGGCUCAACCCCGAAACUGCCUCUAAUACUGUUG